UUUAAUUGUUAGAAAUACGAAUUAAAGAACAGAUAUAACUAAUAUAACUGAGACAAUUAAUAAAUACAAUUAUCGAACCACUCCAAUAGAACAACGUUAACGGUUUUGAGUGGUUUAAGGUCUGACUGACAGUAACGUUAUCCGUAUAAGGGCCAUUUUAACGUAACGUUACAGGGCGGGAAAGAAAGUUAUCUACAGCCACACAUCCACUGUAUACCAAGUUAUGAUGAUCAAUUAUGAGAAUGCAAAAGGAUUGAUAGAUCAGUAAACAAACAACAAAAAGAUGGGUGCUCAUGGUGGCCUCCGAAUAAAUACAUGGACAGGCUGCUAAAGAGGGUCAGGAUGAUGGAGAUGCAAGAGUCAAAGACAGCACGGACCAAACACCAGGCCAGAAUUCUGCAUGAGUCAGAUUGAGUAAUUUUCACUCUAGAGACCCUGGGGUGACCACCAAGGACGAAUGCAAACUCCAGUGAGUGUCUCUAAGGUAGAUCCUAAUGCAGAUGGAUGGAAUGUUGAUCCGCCUAACAUGCAAGAUUUUCUGUACCGAGAACUUUGGAUGACCAUCAAGACAAGCACUCGUUUUGAGUCCUGAAACCCUGGGGUGACCACCGUGAACAAAUACAGACUGCAAAAAGGCAGUCUUGACGGUACUAGGAUGAAUGCAAAUAAAGACUAACCACCUGACUUCAGAGGUCCAGUCUCUUGUGGGAAGCAGGUGUUUGUUACCCCAAAUACGGAUGAAGAGUGACGAAGAGGAUGAUGAUU